rnacentral:rRNA from 1 species
AGUGAACGCUGGCGGUAGGCCUAACACAUGCAAGUCGAACGGCAGCACAGUAAGAGCUUGCUCUUACGGGUGGCGAGUGGCGGACGGGUGAGGAAUACAUCGGAAUCUACUUUUUCGUGGGGGAUAACGUAGGGAAACUUACGCUAAUACCGCAUACGACCUACGGGUGAAAGCAGGGGAUCUUCGGACCUUGCGCGAUUGAAUGAGCCGAUGUCGGAUUAGCUAGUUGGCGGGGUAAAGGCCCACCAAGGCGACGAUCCGUAGCUGGUCUGAGAGGAUGAUCAGACACACUGGAGCUGAGACAGGGUCCAGACUCCGACGGGAGGCAGCAGUGGGGAAUAUUGGACAAUGGGCGCAAGCCUGAUCCAGCCAUACCGCGUGGGUGAAGAAGGCCUUCGGGUUGUAAAGCCCUUUUGUUGGGAAAGAAAAGCAGCAGGUUAAUACCCCGCUGUUCUGACGGUACCCAAAGAAUAAGCACCGGCUAACUUCGUG